rnacentral:tRNA from 1 species
CGCGGGGUAGAGCAGCCAGGCAGCUCGCCAGGCCCAUAACCUGGAGGUCGUGGGUUCAAAUCCCACCCCCGCAACCA